rnacentral:rRNA from 1 species
UGAGGGAUAUUGGGCAAUGGGGGAAACCCUGACCCAGCAACGCCGCGUGAGGGAAGACGGUUUUCGGAUUGUAAACCUCUGUCCUCUGUGAAGAUAAUGACGGUAGCAGAGGAGGAAGCUCCGGCUAACUACGUGCCAGCAGCCGCGGUAAUACGUAGGGAGCAAGCGUUGUCCGGAUUUACUGGGUGUAAAGGGUGCGUAGGCGGCAAGGCAAGUCAGAAGUGAAAUCUAUGGGCUUAACCCAUAAACUGCUUUUGAAACUGUUUUGCUUGAGUGAUGUAGAGGUAGGCGGAAUUCCCGGUGUAGCGGUGGAAUGCGUAGAGAUCGGGAGGAACACCAGUGGCGAAGGCGGCCUACUGGGCAUUAACUGACGCUGAGGCACGAAAGCAUGGGUAGCAAACAGG